rnacentral:rRNA from 1 species
CCUACGUGAGGCUGCAGUGGGGAAUAUUGGACAAUGGGCGAAAGCCUGAUCCAGCCAUGCCGCGUGUGUGAAGAAGGCCUUCGGGUUGUAAAGCACUUUCAGUGGGGAAGAAAGCCUUGGGGCUAAUACCCUCGAGGAAGGACAUCACCCACAGAAGAAGCACCGGCUAACUCCGUGCCAGCAGCCGCGGUAAUACGGAGGGUGCGAGCGUUAAUCGGAAUUACUGGGCGUAAAGCGCGCGUAGGCGGUCUGAUAAGCCGGUUGUGAAAGCCCCGGGCUCAACCUGGGAACGGCAUCCGGAACUGUCAGGCUAGAGUGCAGGAGAGGAAGGUAGAAUUCCCGGUGUAGCGGUGAAAUGCGUAGAGAUCGGGAGGAAUACCAGUGGCGAAGGCGGCCUUCUGGACUGACACUGACGCUGAGGUGCGAAAGCGUGGGUAGCAAACAGGAUUAGAUACCCCAGUAGUC